CAGUGAAACUAAUUUUUUACUUACUAAUAUGAGAGUAACAAUUCUGGUAAGCAUCUAGUCAAUCAGAUUCAAACAAAAUUUAGCAAACAAGUAGCUAUCGCCUUUCUCCAUUCCUUCUGCAAGAAUAAAAUGGAAGAGACGUAACUGUUAUUGUUACAAACAAUACAAUAAUAAUAUUUUCUCCCAUAAUUGUGACAGGACAGGCAUAACCAGUGCAGAAAGUAUGUUUUUGGCAUGUCUUAACAUAUAAAAUUUAUUCCAUAUUAUUAUAGUGGUAUCUAUUUAAUAACAUUAUGCAUUUCAAAUCUGGGUCACUUGUUAUCUGUAAUAAAUUUCUGCAUGACAGCAUCUGAGAAUAUGUGGAGACACAGCUGCUGCAAAGUCAUUUAACCAAGAAAAAAAAUGACUCAGAUUUUACUCACAUUUAAAAAAUAACUAAUAAAUAAGGAGGGAAGGCGUAGGGCUAACUCAGAGUCUAAAAAUUCUGCCGUUAAUGACUUUUUUGUCUCAGAGUUAGCAAAACAGUUUGAUUGACAUAAACUGGAUCUAAGAAAUCAC
rnacentral:lncRNA from 1 species